rnacentral:lncRNA from 1 species
CUGGGUUCUUCACCUUCAGGCCUUUGAAGCAACCGGAGCUCUGCUUUCAGAAACCAAUUCUUGGAGAUCAGAAGUUUGAUCAAUCUGCGUUCUUCUUUCCUCCAAUUCCAUUUCUUCCAUCUCCGCCUAACAUUGGCGGAAUCCCGCUGCCACCCAAUCCACUUCAGCCACCACCAUCUAUUCUGCCACCAGUUUUUCCACAGCCACCGCCAUCCCUUCUUCCACCACUGGUGCCACAGCCACCACCAUCCCUUCUGCCACCACUUGUGCCUACGUUACCUCCAAUUCCAUUUCUCACUCCACCACCACCCCCGCCGGCCUUCCACUUCCCUCCUUUCCCGUUCCUUCCAAAUCCUCUGUUUCCUGGUAUCCCACCAGC